rnacentral:lncRNA from 1 species
CUAAUUUUAAAAUUAGACUGAGAGACUCUUCCUUCCAUGAACAAACUUGCUUUUAUUUAUUUACUUUGAGGAAGAGUCUGACUCUGUUGCCAAUGCUGGUCUUCAGCUGUUUCAGCCUCCCAGUAGCUGGGACUGAUUAUUGAUAAAUGCUUAAAAUAAACAACUAAUGUGGAAGGCUGAUGCAGGAGGAUCCAUAGGAAACAGAAACAGCCCAAAUGCCCCCCAGCUGCUGAAAGUAUGAUGAAAAUAUCACACACACACACACACACACACACACACACACACACACGAAGAGUCUGAAGCCAGCUUGUGUAGACUAGCAAGGCCCUAUCUCAAAAAUCAAACAGAAAGAACCCCAUUCAAUCCUCUUGUUGUAUUUCAAAAAGAAGGAAGGAAGGAAGGAAGGAAGGAAGGAAGGAAGGAAGGAAGGAAGGAAGGAAGGAAAAGAAAAAAGAAAAGAAAAGAAAAGAAAGAAGAAAGAGAAGGAAGGAAGACCGACCUUCUCUAUAACCCUGCUGGUUGGCAGACCUUUCCUGGCUCUGGCAUUAGUUACCUUUGCAUAAACCCAUUUUUUUUCUGGAGUCCUCAUGCACCCACAGUACAGGCCUGCGUCUACGCUAGGGUAGGUGGUGGUCUGUAGUUAGUAAGUCACAUGUGCGCUCCCUCCAUCCCUCCCUCCUCACAAGCUGUCAGUAGACGGCACAGAUCUGUAAGAGGCCGGCCACUCAGAUGUCUCUCUCCUGUAAGACAUGCUGUCCACACAUUGUCACUGCCAUGGCGGCAGGAAGCAUGUUACUCUGCACACAGUAGGAAACAGGAGCUCUGGGGCAGCAGCACAGGGGCUGGUGUGUGCACAGUUGUUUCAUCGUCCCAUCAUGGGCACACCGUGCUGGUCACCCUCGCUGUGUAGAUGGUGGGUGGAGGCUACGUGACUUGCCAAGUAGUGCUGGACCCUGAAGCUGUGGCUGGACAUUUUCUCCAGUAACUGCCUCUCCUGGCUCCUGCUACUAAAGCACGAGUUUAGUUUAUAACUGGAGAGACAGCGAUCUGUGUGUUUGGAGAAGAGAAUAUACAGAAAGGUUUUCCCCUUUGCUUUUCUUUUGAAACCUUUGAUUGGUUUUAAAUUGUUUAAAAUGAGUUUUAAACAAUUAAACAGUUUGCUUAAACAAUCAAACAAUUGUUUGUUUAAACACACCAUUAAAAAUCAAUCGAUGAAAGAUCUAUUUCAGUGCACCCACUUUAUCAUUUUUGUGCCACGAUUAUACGUGUGAUUAUGCAAAGCAUACACGCAAGUAAUGCGAUUACUGUGAAAGCUUCCAUAGUUUCCUUUUUAAAGAAAGUAAGAUAAUAUUGGUGAGAUGUCCCAGACAAAUGGAAGCUGUGGCCUCCUAGUUACGCAGGUUAGGAACAGGUGACAUCACAGGCCUUCCACCCAUGAGUUCCAUCCUUCAGUAGAGUGACCCCAGGCAACACAUGGCCAUCAGAAAUGCCAGACUGGGACAUCCUGCCGGGGCCUUCACAGGAGAGCCUGGGUCACAGUUCAGUCACACAGCUGUCUAACUUUCAGGGAGUUCACCAAGUGGGGUGGAGUAGGGAAACCAGCACCCACAAGCAGUCAAGCAGGCACACGGAGGCCUAAAACAAGCAGCCGCCCAGGAGUAUGUGUGAGCCCAGUUUACAGUAUUAAUUGUCGCUGGUUAUCCCUGUGUGUAUUGUGACUCUGUGGGGAGUCAUUGCCUCCUUAGCUCUUGGGUAUCUGAGUUCAUGAGGCUUCCUUCCUUAGAUACACUACAGGAUCAGGCAGGAGUCUGCCCAGGUAACCUCCUCCUUGCCUCACUUGAGAGGCAGGCAAAGAACUGGGCCUGUCAUUUGCAUAGUGGUCUUGGCUCUGGCCUCCUUAGUGAGGUCUUUUUUGGUCUCUUCAUACACACACACACACACACGCACACAGGCCCCCAAUAAUAAUAAUAGUACAUUUCUACUGUUUUCUUAUUAAAUAUAGAUCACAACUAGGGUAUGACUCAUGCUUUGGGAUAAAAUGUUAGGUGGGAGUCGACCUUUUCUAAGAAAAGAUCUAACUGUGGCGAACUGGAAGAAUCUGGACUAUUCCAGCUUUCUAGUGUCUUUGUUUUGUUGCUUAAUGUUUGCAUGUACAAUGUUUUAAAUUUGUGACACAUAUGAUACUUAUGUCAAUCUAAGAGUCCACCACAACAGAAGAAAAUAGGACCAAGUUGAAGGAUGCAUUGGGGGCAAAUUAACCCUCACCGGGACCGCACUGAUAUUAAAGUUGAAGGAUGGGGGGCGGGGGAGGGGACUAAUCCUCAUGGGGACCACUCAUCCACACCGAUUAUUUCUGCAGUUUAUUUACCUCAUAAUUAUUACAUGUUUACUUAUUUAUGUGUUUAAUUUAGGCUUUCCUUAUUUAUUUAAUUUUUGGGUCACUUGCUUUUGAUAUUAUUUCUUAAUGUGGAAACUGAGUAUUUAAAAUAUUAGAUCUGUAUGGUGAUAUGUUUUUACACAUUUACUUAGUAGUAAUUUGAAUUUUUACCAGUUUAUUUUUUUUUGAAAAAUGUAGUUUUGAUGAUAAUUCUCAUUUCAGGUGCCUUAUUAAUAAAAGCUUAUUAAG